GACUCUCGGCAACGGAUAUCUCGGCUCUCGCAUCGAUGAAGAACGUAGCGAAAUGCGAUACCUGGUGUGAAUUGCAGAAUCCCGCGAACCAUCGAGUCUUUGAACGCAAGUUGACCCCAGGUCAGGCGGGACUACCCGCUGAGUUUAA
rnacentral:rRNA from 16 species